AUACGUAGGGUGCGAGCGUUAAUCGGAAUUACUGGGCGUAAAGCGUGCGCAGGCGGUUGUGUAAGACAGAUGUGAAAUCCCCGGGCUCAACCUGGGAACUGCAUUUGUGACUGCACGGCUAGAGUGCGUCAGAGGGGGGUAGAAUUCCACGUGUAGCAGUGAAAUGCGUAGAGAUGUGGAGGAAUACCGAUGGCGAAGGCAGCCCCCUGGGACGAGACUGACGCUCAUGCACGAAAGCGUGGGGAGCAAACAGGAUUAGAAACCCCAGUAGUCC
rnacentral:rRNA from 1 species